CUGGUUCACCAAUGGACAUAAUGAUGACAAUAAAAAGGUAAGACUGGUCUAACAAUGGUCAUGGUGUUGACAGUAAAAAGGUAAGACUGGUUCACCAAUGGACAUAAUGAUGACAGUAAAAAGGUAAGACUGGUUCACCAAUGGACAUAAUGAUGACAAUAAAAAGGUAAGACUGGUCUAACAAUGGUCAUGGUGUUGACAGUAAAAAGGUAAUACUGGUUCACCAAUGGACAUAAUGAUGACAAUAAAAAGGUAAGACUGGUCCAACAAUGGACAUGGUGUUGACAGUAAAAAGGUAAGACUGGUUCACUAAUUGACAUAAUGAUGACAGUAAAAA